UUCAGGUGAACGUUUGGAGGACUGGUUGAAAGAUGUUGAUGCUAGGGCCAAUGCUGGCAUCAAGUUCGGCAAAUCUAGAGGUUUCAUCAAAACGGGAGAUCCCGUCGUUGUAGUAACAGGGUGGAAACAAGGUUCUGGUUUCACCAACACCAUGAGAAUUGUCGUCGUACAAUAAGUUCACAUUCAACUUUAGCCAACAAUACAGUAGCUUGUGUAUUAUUUAUGAAAUCCUGCGAUAAACAUCCCAUAUAAUUUAUUCAUGAAUUGAAUUUAUUUUGUGAAAAUUAGGUAUUAUGAAUAUAUUUAAUAUACUUUGAAAAUUGUAUUGUAUUAUUGAAAUUACACACAUAUGAAAAAAAAUUACAGUAUUGUACAUUGAUUUCACAAUCAACUUUGAACAACAAUAUA